UCCGGGGUAGCUCAGUGGUAGAGCAACUGGCUGUUAACCAGUAGGUCAUGGGUUCGAGCCCCAUCCCCGGAGCCA
rnacentral:tRNA from 1 species